GUCACUGUGGCCGAGUGGUUAAGGCGUGUGACUUGAAAUCACAUCUCUUAGGAGGCAUAGGUUCAAAUCCUGUCGGUGACG
rnacentral:tRNA from 1 species